rnacentral:lncRNA from 1 species
GAUUCAGACUCGAUUUGAACCAGAUUAGGUCCCAACUUGAACUAGAAGAAUCAUGACUUGGAGUGCCCAGGUCUCCUAGGAUCUCUCUAGAAAUCAUGCCAAGAAAGGAAGAGGGAUGUUGUUUUUCUCAUCCUUCUUUUUUUAUACGUGAAAGGGGUUGGCGCCCCACCUUAUCUGAAAUUCUUUUUUCUUCCAAAUUUUUUUUAUUUGAAUUUAAUUCAAAAUAUGAUAAAAAUCCAUCUAAUUGGGGCAUGGAAGAAUUUUUUUGUGUGACAAAAAAA